rnacentral:lncRNA from 1 species
AGCAGAACUGGCUAGAGCAUCUCCACCAUCUUCCUUCAAGCACGUGGACCGACACCCAGGCCUCCUGGUGUCCUGACACUGCAGACUCCUGGAAUAUACCUCCACCAGCAGGCAGGAAUCUGUCCUAUUCCCAGCAACCACUAGAGGCACUGCCUGACCCUACUGCGGCCACAAGCAGAGGGACCCCAGGAUUCUCAAAUCUGUUACCUUGUCUCACCUCCCCUAGGAAGCAGAAGAGUGCUAUGUGUUGUCGUCCUUCCCUCGGCAGCAGCAGCAGUAGAUGAUGAUGCCAAUGAUAAUGAGGGCUGCAACCACGCCCACCGCGAUGCCCACAUACAGGGCCACGUUCAUGGAGGCUGCAAGAGGACAGAGCAGCUGCACUUGCCGAGCUUCUAAGCUAGCUCCGGGUCUCCUCCCAGCCAGGGGAGCAGCAGCUACCAGCUUCUGGUAACACUCCAUGAAAGGCAUGGUCUUGGAGGAAUGUGACCAGCCAUGGCCCAGGAAUAUUCUUCAGGAUGGAGGUGCAGACAGAGACAUAUGGUCCACUUCACAUCUUAACACUUUCCGGGCUACCCUGGCUCUGCAAAAGUCCUCAGAUGUCAGCCCAGCCAGCUCUUUAAGCUAGAUUUGGUGUCUCACCCCAGAAGGAUGUGGUCCAGACUCUGCGGCAGCUGCCCUGGGCACUUCCUCCACGCCCACCGAGUGGUUCCUAGGCAGGUGGGACUGACAAAGCCUCUGAGUCCUAGAAGUCAGUCCUAGGUUCCACUUCCAAACACCAGUGGAACUGGACUGGCCUCAGAGUGAGGGGAGCCUGGGACAGAGUCAUCCUGCCUAGGUCACCACAGCUAACCUGCAGAAAAUCUUUAGCUGCUGAUCACAGCUAUAAACGAGAUGAGGAGGGUCCCUGUCCUCUUGGUGUUUCCAGUCUCCCAAAGAAGACAGACAUGAAACAAUGAUGGUUACAGUUCAAGAUGGAGGUACUAUCUGAGCUUAUGGCAAGGGGUUUUAAUCUCAUCCAAAGGGCCAAGGAAUGCCUCUUUAAAGAAGAGAGAACAAAUAAAAAUCAUUCAUAAUUCCAUCACCUAUAAAUAACACUUUGAUUUGGUGCUAUUUUCUUUCAGUCUUUUCACUUGUACUUUCUUCAAAUUCUUCCCUUGACCCCCAGGACACUACUCUCUGGAUGCUCAUUCUUCAUAAAAUGUGUCCCCUUCUAUCCUAGAAUUCCACGCCUCAGUAUGUU